rnacentral:rRNA from 1 species
ACGAAGGGGGCAAGCGUUGUUCGGAAUCACUGGGCGUAAAGGGCGCGUAGGCGGCUUACCAAGUCAGGCGUGAAAUUCCCGGGCUCAACCUGGGGGCUGCGCUUGAUACUGGGGAUCUCGAGUCCGGAAGAGGUUGGUGGAACUGCGAGUGUAGAGGUGAAAUUCGUAGAUAUUCGCAAGAACACCAGUGGCGAAGGCGGCCAACUGGUCCGGAACUGACGCUCAGGCACGAAAGCGUGGGGAGCAAACAGGA